ensembl:lncRNA
GCGGAGUCAGAGGAGAGAGGAGACAUCGUGACGGCGUGUGAUGUGCUGGGACAACAGUGGUGAAGAAAGGACGGGGACGAGGAGGAAGAGGAGGAGGAGGACCAAAGAGAACAUGAGAUGUCUUCUUCUAAUCAGGAGCAGAACGAUUGGCUGUGGUGGUGAUGAAGAGGGAGGCCGGUGAUUCCAGAGUGGAGGAAAGAUGACGAACCAGAUUCAGCAACAUUGGAAAAAGCAUUUAUCCGGCCCAAAGAAUGUGACCCCGGCUCAGUCAGAAGAAGAAGGAAAUAUUAAUUGCCUGCAAGAAACUUCUCAUGUGACCCGAGUAACACCCGGAGCUUCUUCCUUCUUCUCGUCAGUGGAGGAGUGGGCGGGACUGAGCUGUAAUUGGUUUCUGUUUACCAGUAAUGCACGACCACAAGCAAUUAGCCAGACAGCUCGGACGUAUCAGUACAAACUGCUCUGUGUGUGUGUGUGUGUGUGUGUGUGUGUGUCGUGAGGAAAAAUAUAAUUAGGCCGAGAUUGAAAUAAGCUUUUUUAUUCUGUGUUUCUUCUGCGUCUCUUGGUCCUCAAAUGUCUCGUACGACAACAUGACAUUAAUGAAGAGGCUGAUUUUAUUCUGUUGUUUGCUCUGCAGCCCUUCAGAAUAAAAGACGACCACGGAACCCAUGAAUCCA